GASCCCUGCCGAGCCGUGAGGSCGCGGGCCUAAAGACGGGUGCAGCAGUCGUUCGUCUCGUUGGACAAAAUGCCUCGCUUGACCGGAUGGAGUGCCUCCGAUGAGCCACCCACCCGCAGCACAUAACAUUCCGAAUCCGAGAGCACGGGCGAAGAGCCUCGUGCGCCGAGGCAGCCAUGCAGCUGGGCUAGGCGUGCCGGGGACACGAGGCUUGCCUGCCGUCCGACCCACCACCCGUGAGGGCAUGGGACGGAGAUAAACAAACGAGACAUCGAAUU
rnacentral:misc_RNA from 1 species